UGUUAAAAUUAUAGUCUAUUUCUAUAGUUAAAAAUUGAUGUGGAUAACAGAAUAACCAAACAUGUAUAUGUAACGUGUUACAUAUACCUCAUGCUAAGGUAUAAUGACUAGAUUUUAACAGUAGAAAUUAAUAAAAUUUGUAAUA
rfam:Gossypium raimondii Chr07_contig_1426, whole genome shotgun sequence.